rnacentral:rRNA from 1 species
AUUGAACGCUGGCGGCAUGCUUUACACAUGCAAGUCGAACGGUAACAGGCCGCAAGGUGCUGACGAGUGGCGAACGGGUGAGUAAUGCAUCGGAACGUGCCCAGUCGUGGGGGAUAAAGCAGCGAAAGCUGUGCUAAUACCGCAUACGAUCUAUGGAUUAAAGCGGGGGACCGUAAGGCCUCGCGCUAGUGGAGCGGCCGAUGUCAGAUUAGGUAGUUGGUGGGGUAAAGGCUCACCAAGCCAACGAUCUGUAGCUGGUCUGAGAGGACGACCAGCCACACUGGGACUGAGACACGGCCCAGACUCCUACGGGAGGCAGCAGUGGGGAAUUUUGGACAAUGGGCGCAAGCCUGAUCCAGCAAUGCCGCGUGCAGGAAGAAGGCCUUCGGGUUGUAAACUGCUUUUGUACGGAACGAAAAGGUUUGGGUUAAUACCCUGGGCCGAUGACGGUACCGUAAGAAUAAGCACCGGCUAACUACGUGCCAGCCGCCGCGGUAAAAC